AGUAGCCGAUUGUGAUUGAAUAAUCAUGAGGGAGGGUACUAGAGAGUAGAUAAAUGGUCUCUUUGUUGGUUUAGAUAGAUCUGUUGACGGGGGGAUGUAUCUAUAACUUGAAAUACCUGGCGCGUGUGGUGUAAAGUCUACUUUUUUGUUAUGAUAAACUUGUUUAUAUUGACAUUCCAUGUAAUAAAAUCAUGUUCACAUGUUUCGUUGAAGCUUAUUUUGCUUGUCUUCAUGCACCAGGCCCACCAUAAUUCUCUAUGGAAUUGACAACAUCAGAGAUCUUUUUGGUCCCAAAGGUGGAUCUAGGUCUCAUCAAAUUUUCUACUGCACAAUCAAGUUGACAUCAUUUCUUUACAUAGUGGGACAAUUCUCGCUGGUACUGGUCAUAGAUGUUCUUGUUGAUACAAAUGUGAAGAUCAAAUAUCCCAAUGGGUGGAAGGCUGUAUUGAAGUUUUGAUGUUAUAACUAGAUUUAUGCUCAUUUAGUUCCUGCACGAUACCUUCCUUUCCAUUUUGAUGAUGGCUUAUGUGGUGGUGAAUACUGUUGAGAUACUUUAAGCUUGUCUCAGAUCACUCAAUGUUCUAUUUUUUUUUUCGCUUUCCAAA